rnacentral:rRNA from 1 species
UACGUAGGUGUCAAGCGUUGUCCGGAUUUAUUGGGCGUAAAGCGCCCGCAGGCGGCUUGCCAAGUCUGACGUGAAAUCUCCCGGCUCAACUGGGAGGGUGCAUCGGAAACUGGCAGGCUUGAGGCAGGGAGAGGGAGGUGGAAUUCCGGGUGUAGUGGUGGAAUGCGUAGAGAUCCGGAGGAACACCAGCGGCGAAGGCGGCAUCCUGGACUGGUCCUGACACUCAGGAGCGAAAGCGUGGGGAGCGAUCCGG